AAGUGAGAGCAAUGUUUAUUGUGAAAGAUGGGAUGAUUGAAUUUUGACAAUUUGAUCUAACAUGAAUGAUCAAGAUUAAAACAUAAAGUCACAUGAUCAUUAAUUAGCAUUUAAUCUCCACCACUCAUGUUAGAUCAAAUGGUCAAGAUUCCAUCAUCUCAUUUCUCACCAUAAACAUUUCUUUCGCUU
rnacentral:pre_miRNA from 1 species